AUACAAGACGAUUAAGGAGAUACAAAAGAGAAAGGAAAAGUGGAAGAAUUCAUUUGAUUUGAUAAUUUAAAACUUAAAAUGGAAAGGAAAAUUUUUCGCGGAAUCGCGAAACAGAAUCUAAACAAGCCGAAGCACGUGACAGGGCAACGUGAUGGCACGAUAGACGAUAAGGAGGGAAAGCAGAGGAAUACGUAUGCUAUAGGGGUUUUGCGAUACACUUCUAUACGCUAUUGUUUAUUGUCCAUGUUGGAAAGAUAAACCUUUCACUUGCAUUCUCAUCUUGAACGAAGAGGAUUCUCUGAUCACGAGUAGAGAAGACAAUGCCCUCUGCGCUAUAAUCGGUGAAUUUCCACAGAUUGAUGAUGUGACGUAAAAGAAUGAAUUUUUUUUAUUUAAAUAAUUGAUAAUGUCAAUUUUCAAAAAAUUAUGUACAUACAUAUUUAAAUAAUAUUAUAAAAAUAUUUUAAUUAUAUAAUUAUAAUAUAUAUACUUAUGGCAAGAGAAUGAAAAUAAUGUUCAACAUUUUUCAACUUACAUAAACUUUUCUUUGGAUAAAACAGGUUAUGAAAACGAAAUCACAAGAAAAUAGCUGUGCUUCUGUAAUAUGUAUACACAAGUGUCGAAUUAUUACGAACAUAACAUGGACUAGUGAAAAGUGAAUGUUGGAAGAAACGAACAUGCUAGUCAUGAAGAGAGAGAAAGAAAAAAAUAGAAACAAGAACUAAGAGAGAUAGAGAAAGAAGAGAGAGGAAAAUUACGAUUCGUUCUAUUAGUUUAUAUUGUAUCGAACAAUAGAGGAAAUACAGGAAUAUCCUGUCCUGAAAAUUCAUGUCCCGAACGGAAGUUUGAGGGAAACCACGAAUGAGAUACGACGUCGACCAAGCUGUGUAAAUUGCUCACGCGACACACGCGAUAAUUCGAACAGAGAAUCAUCAGAAUAGCAAUUAAUCGGCUUAACAAUCAUUCGUUAGCGGUAA